GACAACAGCAAACAGACACCUGACACAGGAACAGGGAGAAGAUGAUGUGCAUCAUCCUGCUGCUCAUCAACCUGACCUCCUGUGUCUGUGGAACAUUUGUAGUCAAUGUGACACAGACCUCCUAUCAGGCAGAGGAGAACCACAACAUCACACUGGAGUGGAUGUUCACCACCAAACCUGGCAGCUCCCUCCACUCCCUUUUUAUCCUCUGUGACCUGUUAAUUGAUC